UUGGAUUCUGUCAACUGACUAGGGUAG
rnacentral:piRNA from 1 species